rnacentral:ncRNA from 1 species
GGUCUUGAGGAGCGUUGCGACAGCGAAUCCGCUGCCAGGCUCAAGAUCCUUCCCAUUGGCCCCGCCGGCCGCCGGUUUCCCCCGGAUCGUUGGCGUGUGGGCCCCAAGAACGGCGCUCACGUCCC